rnacentral:piRNA from 1 species
GAGGAACCAUGACCACAUAGUGAGG